CAGUCGCCGCGGGAAUACGUAGGGUGCGAGCGUUAAUCGGAAUUACUGGGCGUAAAGCGUGCGCAGGCGGUUGUGUAAGACAGGUGUGAAAUCCCCGGGCUUAACCUGGGAACUGCGCUUGUGACUGCACAGCUAGAGUAUGGCAGAGGGGGGUGGAAUUCCACGUGUAGCAGUGAAAUGCGUAGAGAUGUGGAGGAACACCGAUGGCGAAGGCGGCUUACUGGACGACAACUGACGUUGAGGCUCGAAGGCGUGGGUAGCAAACAGGAUUAGAUACCCCCGUAGUCCCUGUCUCUUAUAC
rnacentral:rRNA from 1 species